UACGUAGGGGCCUAGCGUUGUCCGGAUUUAUUGGGCGUAAAGAGCUCGUAGGCGGCUUGGUUAGUCAGGUGUGAAAUCUCCACGCUCAACGUGGAGGGGCCACCUGAUACUGCCAUGGCUUGAGUCCGGUAGGGGAGUGUGGAAUUCCCGGUGUAGCGGUGAAAUGCGCAGAUAUCGGGAGGAACAUCCGUAGCGAAGGCGGCACUCUGGGCCGGUACUGACGCUGAGGAGCGAAAGCGUGGGGAGCAAACGGG
rnacentral:rRNA from 1 species